rnacentral:rRNA from 1 species
GACGAACGCUGGCGGCGUGCUUAACACAUGCAAGUCGAACGGAAAGGCCCUGCUUUUGUGGGGUGCUCGAGUGGCGAACGGGUGAGUAACACGUGAGUAACCUGCCCUUGACUUUGGGAUAACUUCAGGAAACUGGGGCUAAUACCGGAUAGGAGCUCCUGCUGCAUGGUGGGGGUUGGAAAGUUUCGGCGGUUGGGGAUGGACUCGCGGCUUAUCAGCUUGUUGGUGGGGUAGUGGCUUACCAAGGCUUUGACGGGUAGCCGGCCUGGGAGGGUGACCGGCCACAUUGGGACUGAGAUACGGCCCAGACUCCUACGGGAGGCAGCAGUGGAGAAUAUUGCACAAUGGGCGGAAGCCUGAUGCAGCAACGCCGCGUGCGGAAUGACGGCCUUCGGGGUGUAAACCGCUUUCGCCUGUGACGAAGCGUGAGUGACGGUAAUGAGUAAAGAAGCACCGGCUAACUACGUG